ensembl:lncRNA CEROX1 cytoplasmic endogenous regulator of oxidative phosphorylation 1
UCCCUGGGGCCGCCGGGCGGAUGGCGUGGCCGGACGCGGGGGCCCCGGGCCUUCCGGGCGUGACCUAGGGCUCGGGGGCGGGGAGGCCCCUCCGGCGGGGCGGCCCUGGGUGGUCCGGCAGAGGCGGAGGCCGCUCCGAGCCUGUGAGCCCUGGGCGCCUGCGGAGGCGGGGAGAGGGCGGGGUGUGCCGCCCUGGUGGGGACCGCGGGGUCGGAGAGGGGACAUUGCCCCCCCCGAGGCGAACGUCCAACCGCGGGUCCGGGUCCCCGCCCAAGGCCGCCCCGCGAGGUGGCCUCGGCCCGGCCGUCCCCGAGGGUGGCUCGGAUCCUUUCAACCAGCGCGCUGGAGGCGAAGGGGCUGCGCCAUUCCGGGUCAGGCAGCCAACGCGGGACACGCGCGUCUCCGAGCUUGCGGCCCGCGAAACCCGGGUGACCUACCGCGCCGGUGCCCUCAAAGCCCCCACGCCCGGGCCGGUGGCCGCUGCAGCCACUGAGCCACGCGGUCUCCCCGGCCCGGUCGGCAGAAGGAGCUGGUCCGUUACUAGAAAAGUCCAGAUGCAAAGUCGGGGGUCGUGCUGCCGCUUCCUGCCAGCGCACCGCACCCACCUGGGGCCGCCACCGACCGCACAGGACGCGCCUCCUACCCCCUGUUCUGGCCCGGCCGAGAGCUGGUGCCCCCAGCGGCCGCCCGCCCCCGUCCGCAGACCCCGGGGCCCUUGCUGCUUUGCAUUGGGAACAACCGGAGCCAGGCCCGGAGCUGAGGGGGCCAGGGCCUUUGGAGGAAGCAUUGGCCUCCAGGCUGAAGAGCAAGGGCCGUGUCACCUGCCCGGAGGGCGGUCUCAUCUCUGCAGCCAGGUCAGAGGAAGCAGCGGUGGGGAGACGGAGUGCGCGAGUUGGGAGGCUCCACGCAUCGUAGGUGGAGAGCUGGCUGCCAGCCUGGCCUGCCCUCUCUUCCCCGUCCCACCAUCUCGCUUGGCUCCGGCACCUGCCUGGGAAGACCCACACCUCCGUCUGCAGUGCCUCUUCCCCCUGGAGGCCCUGCCCUCCGCUCGGGGUCCCCGCAUCCUUCCGUGGCCCUCAGAGCAUCGCCUGGGGCGCCCGCGGAACUCAUCUGUUAGGCCUGGGAUGCAGGCAGGCAGAAGUGGGGGUUUAAGUGGAAGCAGUGAGGGUGGGGGUCCGGUCCAAACUGUGCCACCUUCCACCCCCUGCCCCUGGGAGAGCAGACAUCGCCCACUCGGGCUCACAGUGCCAUCCGGGUGAGGACCUCCGUGGAGAGCUCUCUUUGCCAAAGAAAAGCAGUUGCAUUAGGUCUGCGAGCAGGCAGGGUGGCCUCUUCCUGGCUCCCCAUCCACCAAGGAAGCUUCAAGUCCCUGGGACACAGGCACUUUCCCACACAGGAUGGAGCCGGGCCACCCUCACAGCUCCUGCCCUGCAGACGCUGGCCUUGUGGAGGGAGGCAGGCAGCAGGUAACUCCAAAAGCACCUCUCAGAGGCGGGGACUUCAGGAAGGAUGGUCUGGGAAAGCAUCUUUGGUGUCAUUUAAGCUGAGCCCUGAAGCUUCUGAUCUCCUGCAGGGAGAGGCCAGCGUGUUCCCUGGGGAAGCUAGAGCAGAGUGUCUGAUGACAAGAGAUGGACCCGGGGGUGGAGAGUGGAGGGGCAGCCAUCAGAGCCACCUCUGAGUCCACCUGAUGGGCCCAUGUCUUCAUCCAGGGGGGAGCUGCACACACACCCUCCUCCCCUGUCUCCCAUCCCUGCCCCACCCCUUCAGCUGGGGCCUGCUCCGCCGUGUCUGCAUGGCCCCACCCACCCUGACCUCACCACCUGCUAGUGGGCCUUGCAGUUUCAGGGGGAGUGUACGUUUCAAGUAUACCCUGAUGGGGGAAUCUGGACCAGGGCUGUCCCCUGGGCCGUGAGUGCCGGGCGUGGAGAGCUGGUGUAGAUGACAUUUGUAGCUCCACAUGCCCUGGCCUGGGCGCCAAGGACAGCCGCAGAGAAGAAUGUGGGUGGACAGGCUCUGCUGCCCAUGAGAUGGUGCAGGGAUGGCCUGGGGGAUGCUUCCAGAUGAGAGACCACCCCACCCUACCCGUGGCUCCUAGGGAUGGCGACCCCGGAGGCGCGUGUGUUCAUGUGUGUGUGUGGUGUGUGUUUGUAUGGUAUGUAAUGUGUGAUAUGUGUAUGGGAUGUAUGUAUGGGGUGUGUUUAUGGUGUGUGUGGUGCGUGUAUAGUGUGUAUGGUGCGUGUAUAGUGCGUAUGGUGUGUAUGGUGUGUGGUGUGUAUGUGUAUGAUGUGUGUGAUGUAUGUGUGUGGGGUGCGUGUAUGGUGUGUGGUGUGUGUGUGUGUGUAUGAUGUAUGUGUGUGGUGUGGUGUGUGUAUGGUGUGUGGUGUGUGUGUGUCCGUGUGUGUUUGGUGUGGUGUAUGUGUGCAGGGUGUGGGUGUGUUUGUGUGUGUGUGAUGUGUGGUGUGCGUGUGUAUGAUGUGUGUGUGUGGUGUGUGUGUGUGCGUGUAUGUGUGUGGUGGGGUGUGUGUAUGGUGUGUGGUGUGUGUGCGUGUGUAUGAUGUAUGUGUGUGGUAUGUGUGUGGUGUGUGUGUUUAGUGUGUGGUGUAUGUGUGCAGGGUGUGGGUGUGUUUGUGAUGUGUGGUGUGCAUGUGUAUGGUGUGUGUGUGUGUGUGGUGUGUGUUGGGCCCAGGGCACGAGGAGGAAGCAGGGCUGCCCAGGGAAAUGCCACCCUGGAGAGGCCCCUGUCCCUCCCUCUCCGUCCUUCCCUGUGCCCCUCCGUCCCUCCCUGCCCGUCCUCCCCGUCCCCCUCCAUCCACCCCCAACCCGGCCCUCCUCCUGCGGCAGGCAGCCCAUCUUUUGUGCGGCCUCUGAGAAGCACAGGGAGGGCCCGGCGGGCGUGAACCCGCUGGCAGCCGGUGUGUGCACAGCCUUGGCCCGGGCCUCCCAGCCCCUGCAUCCCGAGCACCCGUGGGGCAGUUGGCAGCGUCCUGGCACGGCCUGGGAGAUUAAUUGGUGCUUUUAAUGACGGCUGGUCUGGCAGAGACAGAGUGACUACAGGCUGGGCCGGCGCAGGCUGUGAGCAGAGGCUGGGAAAGGCCCCGCCCCCGGACGGGUCUCCAGGGGAGAGGAGGGGUUCGCAGGACCCCUCUCAAGACCCCCUUCGGGAGUCAGCUUCUUGGCCACGCACACUUGGAGCUCUGGGCUGGGUUGCAGCUCCCUGUACUUCACUGUCUCGGGUGCUGGCAGUGCCAGCUGGGGCACGAGUUCCGGUUUGGGUCAAGGCUGGCCUGUUGGCUGGGGUGGCGUCUGCCUGAGAACUGGCCUUGUCUGUGCCUUAAGCUUCCUGGCGCUCACAGGGCAGUGGAAAACCACUCAGUGAGUCUUUCUUGGCACCUUGCAGGAGCAGUGCUUUCUGGGCCUCUGUAGCCAGAGCUGGCCCUGCUGCAGCUUACGUCUGCCUGCAGCCCAGACGUCCUCCUGGUCCUCCUGAUGCCCCCGACCUCCACGGAGGACGAGCAUUUCCAGCCCAGCCCUCCCCAUCUUCACCUCGCACUCCCCUGACACACUGGGAGCCUCCUGAUCCGUGAACCCGCGCUGGCGGGAGUAGCUACUGACCGCUGGGGACCCCUGCCCAGGCUGUUCGCAUGUGGAAAGGAUUCAGGGAGCAGGCGAUGCCCAAAGCGUGGAGACCAGCACUGCUCUCUCCCCAGUGACAGGUGCACGCCCAGAUCACGGAUGUGUCGGGAACAGCUGUGCUCCUGCUGCUCAGCGUCCGUCACUCCAGGCUGGGAGCGGGUCCCCAAGCUUCUGGCUGGGCCUAUCCGUCUCCACUCUCAGUGUGGGGGUGGGGGGCGCCAACAGCACGCAUUUGCUCUCUGCACUUCUCGUCUGAUAAUGGGCAGAGGGUCCUUCUGCAGCCCCAAAACAUCCCUAGGCAGGAGCCCUGGGGCCCCAAGCAGCCAGGGAGGUGAGCACCAAGGACCUCCCAGAGAGCGUCACCUUCCGUCGAGGGAGGCCCAGCCUGGGGGCGGUGUCUGAGACUUGGAAUCAACGCUUCCGUUGGUGGCAGUAAAUCCUGUCCCUAACCCUGCAGUACAGCUGUGCCGUGUACAGGAGGGUGCUGUCUGACGCCAGACACCUGGACUACAGAUCGCAGCCUGAUUCCUGGUCAUUGCUCCACUGAACCCCAGACCCCAGCCUCGUUCUGGGCCCUCAUCCCCUAGAUCCAGGGACCCCAGCCCCAUUUCAGCCCUUGGGCCCUUGUAGGAUGCGAGGCCCUGGGCCCCAGCCCCCAGCCCAUCCGUGGCCCAGGCACUGGGGGGCUGAGGUCCUCUGAGAAGGGACACAGGGCCUGGGGGGCUCUCUCAGCCCAUCAGCAGGAGAGGACUGACUCCAGAAAAAUCAGCGUUUGUACCCACUCAGGCUGCCAAGACCUGUGUCCGUCCUUCCAAGCUCAACCUUCAGAGUUCAUGAGGCCCCUUGCCCAGAAUGUCCACAGAGUUCAUGAGGCCCCUUGCCCGGAAUGUCCACAUUUGAAACCUCCCAACACCGAGCCCCAUUUCAAGUAUAACCAGGAGGGAAAAUGGUGCUUGAAAUAAGCAUGCCACAAAGGAAAACCUGCUUUCUCGAAAUGGGCCCUGGCCGCCCAGGCCCUGACCUCCCCGGCCAGGAUGGAACGUUCCAGAGACCCAUUAGUGCCAAAGGCAAAUGAAAACACACCCUGUGAAAAUGUC